UAAAACAAUGAAAGUAAAUUAAUAAAUAAAGGGCAGAGUCUACAGUUGUGUUAAAAGCAAAGGAAUAAAAAUGGGGUUUGAGGCGGUUUUUAAAGGGGAGCUAAAUCCAAGAUGUGAAAACUUUUGUUAUAUUUUAAAUGUGCUUAUCUUCUUUAUCUGAUGAUGUUUACUUUAAAUCUACGAGGUAUUUAUUCUUAAAAAUACAUUUCAAACAUUGCAUUUACCCACCUCCGGGGGCCGCCAUUCUUACGUCGUUACAUGCGCGAAGUCCCGGCCGGGAAUGUGACGUGUGAGAGUGGUAGGCUGCCGACAGCUUUUCAAAGACACUUUAAUUGGCGAAAACGAAUCUGCACACGUACUUUUGAUGCCGACAGCCUGACACAGUUGCAGUCCCUACCGAUCCAAUUUCAACAAACCAGACUCAAAUGUGUCGUAAACAAAGCAACGAGGUAACUGUACUGGCUGACUCCAAAGUAAAGAUCGUUGCAGUAAUCCAACAGAUAUGUGAAGACGACAAUGAAUUGGUCGGCGAGCUGCUGAGGGCUCCACUCCACGACCUCUGACCGGGAUGGCACUCGGCCGCCGCUCAUCCUGCGUGGUCUGCCUCGCCGCAGAAGACUUCACAGUACCUGGUUGGACUUCCUAACUGAAAAGUCAGUGAAAACUGAUCUCAAGGUUUCCCGUCGUCGCCUAGGCCGACAUGUCAAAGUGGAACCAAGAUGGCUUCCUUCGUGCUUCCUGUCGCCUUUACUUGGUGUGUUUGUCAGUCU